rnacentral:rRNA from 1 species
AUUGAACGCUGGCGGCCGGCCUAACACAUGCAAGUCGAACGCGUGGCGGACGGGUGAGUAUUGUCUGGGAAACUGCCUGAUGGAGGGGGAUAACUACUGGAAACGGUAGCUAAUUCCUCAUACCAUCGGAUCUGACCAGAUGGGUUUAGCUCGUAGGUGGGGUAACGGAUCACCUAGGCGAUGAUCCCGAGCUGGUCUGAGAGGAUGACCAGCCACACUGGAACUGAGACACGGUCCAGACUCCUACGGGAGGCAGCAGUGGGGAAUAUUGCACAAUGGGCGCAAGCCUGAUGCAGCCAUGCCGCGUGUAUGAAGAAGGCCUUCGGGUUGUAAAGUACUUUCAGCGGGGAGGCGUUACCCGCAGAAGAAUCACCGGCUAACUCCGUGCCAGCCGCCGCGGUAAUUC